rnacentral:rRNA from 1 species
GAUGAACGCUAGCGACAGGCUUAACACAUGCAAGUCGAGGGGCAGCAGGGGAGUAGCAAUACUCCCGCUGGCGACCGGCGCACGGGUGAGUAACACGUAUGCAACCUGCCCUUGUCAGGGGGAUAAGCGGAAGAAAUUCCGUCUAAUACCGCAUAAUGCUGCGGGGAGACAUCUCCCUGCAGCCAAAGAUUUAUCGGACAAGGAUGGGCAUGCGGCGCAUUAGCUUGUUGGCGGGGUAACGGCCCACCAAGGCGACGAUGCGUAGGGGUUCUGAGAGGAAGGUCCCCCACACUGGUACUGAGACACGGACCAGACUCCUACGGGAGGCAGCAGUGAGGAAUAUUGGUCAAUGGCCGGGAGGCUGAACCAGCCAAGUCGCGUGAGGGAAGACGGUCCUAUGGAUUGUAAACCUCUUUUGUCAGGGAGCAAAAACUGCCACGUGUGGCAGGAUGAGAGUACCUGAAGAAAAAGCAUCGGCUAACUCCGUGCCAGCAGCCGCGGUAAUACGGAGGAUGCGAGCGUUAUCCGGAUUUAUUGGGUUUAAAGGGUGCGUAGGCGGACAGUUAAGUCAGCGGUAAAAUUGAGAGGCUCAACCUCUUCCCGCCGUUGAAACUGAUUGUCUUGAGUGGGCGAGAAGUAUGCGGAAUGCGUGGUGUAGCGGUGAAAUGCAUAGAUAUCACGCAGAACUCCGAUUGCGAAGGCAGCAUACCGGCGCCCAACUGACGCUGAAGCACGAAAGCGUGGGUAUCGAACAGGAUUAGAUACCCUGGUAGUCCACGCAGUAAACGAUGAAUACUAAUUGUUCGGGUCAAAUGAGAUCUGAGUGAUACAGCGAAAGCGUUAAGUAUUCCACCUGGGGAGUACGCCGGCAACGGUGAAACUCAAAGGAAUUGACGGGGGCCCGCACAAGCGGAGGAACAUGUGGUUUAAUUCGAUGAUACGCGAGGAACCUUACCCGGGCUCAAACGACACAGGAAUGAUCUGAGAAAUCAGGCAGUCCUCCGGGACCUGUGUCGAGGUGCUGCAUGGUUGUCGUCAGCUCGUGCCGUGAGGUGUCGGCUUAAGUGCCAUAACGAGCGCAACCCCCAUCGACAGUCGCCAGCAGGUCAAGCUGGGCACUCUGUCGAGACUGCCGGCGCAAGCUGUGAGGAAGGCGGGGAUGACGUCAAAUCAGCACGGCCCUUACGUCCGGGGCGACACACGUGUUACAAUGGCAGGUACAGCGGGAAGCCACCUGGCGACAGGGAGCGGAACCCGAAAGCCUGUCUCAGUUCGGAUUGGAGUCUGCAACUCGACUCCAUGAAGCUGGAUUCGCUAGUAAUCGCGCAUCAGCCACGGCGCGGUGAAUACGUUCCCGGGCCU